UCUGCAGUGUUUGUGUUGUUUUACAGCAGCAGCAGCAGCGUCUGUGCUCCAGUGCAGCUCUGACUCUGAAAGCAGCUUAACCUGGUCAUCUGUCCACGUUCUCCUCAUGUCAGCUGGGACUGACUCCUGCUCCUCCUCCUCCUCCUCCUCCUCCCAUGACCCUCAGAGAAUGAACUGUGACGACAACGACGACGAUGAUGAUGGACCAUAAAGGUUCCCAGUGAACCCGCAGCUGAGUGUCCAGAGCUGUGGACUCCUGCCAAUGAGACGACGGACACAGCGUCCCUGCUCUCUCUCCCUCUCUGUCUCUGUCUCUGCACAGAAAUGCUGAUUGACCUCCCAUUGUUGUCCUACUCUGAGUGCGACCCCACACCUCGCCGUGUUUGAAAACAUUUGGCCGCGUUCCAAACCACGUCGUCAGAGACGAGAGUGGAGAUGUGUUUUAAUGAGGCCGGUUCCCAGGGAAUAUAAAAAUAAAAACCAGCCUCAGUGAA